rnacentral:rRNA from 1 species
GACGAACGCUGGCGGCGUGCUUAACACAUGCAAGUCGAACGAAGUGGCGAACGGGUGAGUAAUACGUGAGUAACCUGCCCUCCUUUUUGGGAUAAGCCUUGGAAACGGGGUCUAAUACCGAAUAAAGGGGGUUGGGCUCGCGGCCUAUCAGUUUGUUGGUGGGGUAAUGGACUACCAAGGCGGUGACGGGUACACGGCCUGUGAGGGUGACAGGCGAAAUUGGACAUGGGAUACGGCCCAGACUGCUGCAGGAGUCGGCAGUGGUGGAUAUUGCACGAUGGGCGGAAGCAUGAUGCAGCGGUGCCUGAUGAGGGAUGAAGGCUUUCGAGUUAUAAACCUCUUUGGCUAACGAACGGGUAGGUGGAGAAGAAGCGCCGGCUAACUACGUGCCAGCAGCCGCGGUAAUUC